AUGGCCGGCGACACGGCACCGCACGUCGUGGAGGAUCUCCUCCGCCUCGUCCAGAUCCUGAGUGACGGCUCCGUCGUCCGCGGCGACGAGUCCGUCCUCGGCCCAAAGGAGCCCUUCCCGGACGUCCCCGGCGUGGAAUGGAAGGACGUGGUGUACCACGCGGCGCACGGCCUCCGCGUCCGCGUCUACAGGCCGACUUCGGUGGUGGCCGGCGGCGACAAGCUCCCGGUGCUGGUGUACUUCCACGGCGGCGGCUACUGCCUCGGCUCCUUCGCCCAGCCGACCUUCCACGCGUUCUGCCUCCGCGCCGCCGCCGAGCUCCCGGCCGUCGUGCUGUCCGUGCAGUACCGCCGCGCCCCCGAGCACCGCCUCCCCGCCGCCAUCGACGACGGCGCGGCUUUCCUCUCCUGGCUGCGCGGCCAGGCCGAGCUCGGCGCCGGCGCCGACCCGUGGCUCGCGGAGUCGGCCUGCUUCGCCCGGACGUUCCUCUCCGGCGUCUCCGCGGGCGCCAACUUGUCCCACCACCUCAUCGUCCAGGUCGGCUCGGCGCGCCUCGCGGUCAGCCCCGUGCGCAUCGUCGGGUACGUACUCCUCUCUGCCUUCUUCACCGGCGCCGAGCGCACGGCUGCGGAGACAGACCCGCCGGCGGACGUGUUCCUGCCGCUGGAGCUGUCCGACCAGCUCUGGCACAUGUCGCUUCCGGUUGGGGCGAGCAGGGACCACCCGGUGGCGAAUCCGUUCGGGCCGGAGAGCCCCAACCUCGCGCCGGUGGAGCUCCCGCCGGCUCUCGUCGUGGCGCCGUUGGGCGACGUGCUCCGUGAUCGCUCGCUGGGUUACGCGGCGAGGCUCAAGGACAUGGGGAAGGACGUGGAGCUUGUCGAGUUCGAGAGGCAGCAGCAUGGCUUCUCCGUCCUUCAGCCGUUCGGCGAGGCGGCCGACGAGUUGAUGCGAGUCCUCAGGCGGUUCGUGUACCCCGCCCGCUGA
rnacentral:rRNA from 1 species